UUCAAAUUUUAGAUCCUCACUGCCGACGUUUGGAAAUUCCAGAUUUAGAUUUUGGAGAGUGAGAUGGAAGAGCUCAGAUGAGUAUUAAUAGGAGAGCAUUUUUGUGACAGGAACCUGGACACCACUUGAGUGGAACUGGAACCAUUGCAUGUUGCUGUCAGAGUUACUGAAUUUCUCAUUGCUGCCAUGAUCACCUUACCUCAGAUCAAGGCAAGUUCAGG